rnacentral:siRNA from 1 species
CCACAUGUUCAGAGUUUGGUGGA